rnacentral:ncRNA from 2 species
GAAUGACAUUAGGGGUGCCCUUGGGCUGAGACAACGAAAGUUGGACCCUCGAACUUGAUCUGGUUAGCGCCAGCGGAAGAAAAUGCCGAUUUCUUUUU